GUCUUCUUUCUCACGCUAAGGAGGGAUCCGGAGCCUAGGUCACGUAUCUGUUCUAAAAAGGUGUUCAAAAAAUGCGAUGACGUCACACUGUCAGAGGUACUGAGUGCUUUACGGCAGUUUCUGAAGCACUUCCCGCAACGAUAAUACCAGCUGUUGGAGAUGGACAUUGAUGCUGUGACAACGGAGAAGUCUUCUUCCUCUGUCCUUUUUCCCUGCCUCUGUUAGUGUUUAGUGUUGUUAAAUAAUUUAUCUUUUUUUAAUUAGGGGUCCAAGCCAACAGGUUGGAUCCCUAUUGUUUUUGUAAGGUUUUUUUUUCCUAUUAUUAGGGGUCCAAGCCAACAGGUUGGAUCCCUAUUGUUUUUGUAAGGAUUUUUAUUAUUAGGGGUCCAAGCCAACAGGUUGGAUCCCUAUUGUUUUUGUAAGGUUUUUUUUUCCUAUUAUUAUUAUUUUUCCCCCCUAGAAGUGGGUCCACAGCCCAAACCGUAAAUGGUGCCGACACGCCAAUUGCAUGACUAGA
rnacentral:lncRNA from 1 species